GACGAAGGAUGCAAGCGUUAUCCGGAUUCAUUGGGUUUAAAGGGUGCGUAGGCGGACUGAUAAGUCAGUGGUGAAAUCUCUUUGCUUAACAAAGAAACUGCCAUUGAUACUGUCGGUCUAGAGUAUAGAUGACGUUGGCGGAAUAUGACAUGUAGUGGUGAAAUACUUAGAUAUGUCAUAGAACAAUCGAUUGCGAAGGCAGCUAACGAAACUAUAACUGACGCUGAGGCACGAAAGUGCGGGGAUCAAGCAGG
rnacentral:rRNA from 1 species